UACGUAUGGGGCAAGCGUUAUCCGGAUUUACUGGGUGUAAAGGGGGCGUAGGCGGCGGGGCAAGCCUGAUGUGAAAGCCCGGGGCUCAACCCCGGGACUGCAUUGGGAACUGCCCUGCUGGAGUGCCGGAGGGGCAGGCGGAAUUCCUAGUGUAGCGGUGAAAUGCGUAGAUAUUAGGAGGAACACCAGUGGCGAAGGCGGCCUGCUGGACGGUGACUGACGCUGAGGCUCAAAAGCGUGGGGAGCAAACAGG
rnacentral:rRNA from 1 species